AGAGUUUGAUCAUGGCUCAGAUUGAACGCUGGCGGUAAGCCUUAAACAUGCAAGUCGUGCGGUAACAGACAUAAAGAUUUAGCUUGCUAAAUCCGGUGCUGACGAGCGGCGAACGGGUGAGUAACACGUAGGAAUCUACCCAGUAGCGGGGGAUAGCCCAGGGAAACUUGGAUUAAUACCGCAUAAGCCCUAUGGGGGAAAGAAGGCCUCUCUUUGAAGCUUUCACUAUUGGAUGAGCCUGCGUAAGAUUAGCUUGUUGGUGGGGUAAAAGCCUACCAAGGCAACGAUCUUUAGCUGGUCUGAGAGGACGAUCAGCCACAUUGGGACUGAGACACGGCCCAGACUUCUACGGAAGGCAGCAGUUAGGAAUAUUGGACAAUGGGGGCAACCCUGAUCCAGCUAUACCGCGUGUGUGAAGAAGGCCCUAGGGUUGUAAAGCACUUUAAGCAGGGAAGAAGUAUAGUAAGUUAAUAUCUUACUAUAUUGACGUUACCUGAAGAAUAAGGACCGGCUAACUCCGUGCCAGCAGCCGCGGUAAUACGGAGGGUCCAAGCGUUAAUCGGAAUUACUGGGCGUAAAGCGCGCGUAGGCGGUUUAAUAAGUUGUAUGUGAAAGCCCUGGGCUCAACCUAGGAACUGCAUACAAAACUAUUAAGCUAGAGGA
rnacentral:rRNA from 1 species